GUCCUGUUCGAUUAGUUGGUUAAAUCAUCUCGUUGUGGAUGAAGUGCUCCGAGAAGCCGGAAGUUCGAAUCCUCCACAGGACA